GUCACACACACACAAUCACAGACAGUUACACACACAGUCACAGGCAGACAGUCACACACAGUCACAGACAGUCAUGCAGACAGCUACACACACACAAUCACACACAGUCACACACACACAGUCACAGAUAGUCAAACACACACACAGUCACACACACAGUCAAAGACAGUCACCCAGACAGACACAAUCACAGUUACACACAGUAGA